ACAGGCACGGCGUCACUGAGCUAAGUCCCCAGCCAAGGAAAUAUUUUUGAUUAUUACAAGUUGGGAGUGGUACUGACAUCAAGUGAGAAGAGUCCAAGGGUGCUUCUAAACACCCUAUAGUGCCCAGGAUAGCCUCUCACGACAGAGAAGUCUCUGGCCCCAAAUGCCAAUAUGGCCAAGGCUAAGAAAACCUAGCUAGCCAAUCAGAUUUUCCAAAGAGGAAGUUGUCCGGGCUACGCAAGUGGAGAAACCAUGGGGCGUGGGCAUACAUGUUAUGGGGCCUCUCGGGUUCUAUGACAGAAUGUGAGCUUAAGUUCCAGGCAGAGGUUGACCAAGUUGUCAAAUUCUUCAAGGCUCUCUGUUGAGAGACCAACCUCAACCAUCAGCAUUAUUUACUUGUCAUAAUGGCCACAUGUUGAGGACAAUAUGAACUCAGAAGAGGCACAAUCAGAGGCCGGGGUGUAGCUCAAUGAUAGAGUUGCUUUCCUGGCAUGCAUCAGGCUCUGGGUUCAAGGCCCAGCCCUGGAAGAAAAAGGGACGGAGCAAAAUCACACUCAGAAUUCCAGGAACUAAACCAGGGGAGGUCUUUGUUUUUUGUUUUGUUUUAUUUUCUUUUGUUUUCACAGUGCUGGGGACGAAACCCAGGAGCAUAUAUGCAUGCUAUGGCAAAUGACUACUACUGAACUAUCCCUCCAACCUCACAAGGAAAUUCUUUGAAUGAUAUCCUUCUUACUAAAAAGAACUGCAGUGUGAAUUUUCACUUUGCCCAUUUUCCUCUGAAAGGUUGAGAAUCCCAACUGCUCAGGGCUACAAUAAAUCUCCUCUAUUUCUGUUUAGGUGAAAAGAAUAUAUCUGCAUUCAUGGCCUUCCUGGAAAAAGUAAUUUUCUCUUGCCGGUAACAAAUGAUAGACAAGGGAAGUCUAAGGAACAGGAGAUAAUGGAGGUGACAGUUUCUGGGCCUCUAUAUGUUUUAACUAUCUUUUCUUUUCUUUUCUUUUCACUUUUCCCAUUUGUUAGAUACCAAUGUGCUUGGUGACCUUCUGCAGGGCACUUAAUCUCCCUGAGCCUGAGUUUCCUCAUCAGCAAACUUCAAGCUGUUGGAACAGGCCAUAGUGUCACAGGAAGGAGAAGCACAGCAUUUCUUUUCCUCUGGAUCUCUGCUUCAAGAGGCUACUGUCUCAGUUCCAGCUCCCACUGUUAAUUCCUGGACCAACUUGUGACCAGUUUGAGGUUAGAUCCUGAUAUCAUCUUGACAAUACCAAGAAAUACAAAAGGAAGACUCUCAGCACUCCAAAAGGCUAAUUCCCCAGAGAUAAGCUGCUUCUCCAAACUCCCUCAUGCCAAGAGUGGAAUAAACCGCCACCCCCUCCUCUCUUCUGCUCAGAGGAAUGGAUGGAAAUGUAGAUGUUGCCCCAGGAGGUCAGAGUCAAGCCAGAGGAAAGAAGCCCAAAAGGACCAGGAAGGAUGAAACAAGCAUGGAGUCAUCACUGUUUAAUCGUAUCCCCUCUGCCCUCUCUUCCUUACCAUGAAAGGACCUUCCACAGCUGGACAUGAUGAGACAGUGGUGCAUGGCAAUGUGAGGCCCUCCAUCUCCUUGGAGCCAGCUUUGAGUAAAGCCCUUUUCCUUUUCA